UGGAGAUGCGGGGGGAGCGAACCCUGGGCCUUUCACAUGCAACGCGAACGCUCUACCACUGAGCUACACCUCC